rnacentral:rRNA from 1 species
GCACGGUCCAGACUCCUACGGGAGGCAGCAGUGGGGAAUUUUGGACAAUGGGGGCAACCCUGAUCCAGCAAUGCCGCGUGAGUGAAGAAGGCCUUCGGGUUGUAAAGCUCUUUUGUCAGGGAAGAAACGGUAUGGGCUAAUAUCCCGUACUAAUGACGGUACCUGAAGAAUAAGCACCGGCUAACUACGUGCCAGCAGCCGCGGUAAUACGUAGGGUGCAAGCGUUAAUCGGAAUUACUGGGCGUAAAGCGUGCGCAGGCGGUUUUGUAAGUCUGUCGUGAAAUCCCCGGGCUCAACCUGGGAAUUGCGAUGGAGACUGCAAGGCUAGAAUCUGGCAGAGGGGGGUAGAAUUCCACGUGUAGCAGUGAAAUGCGUAGAGAUGUGGAGGAACACCGAUGGCGAAGGCAGCCCCCUGGGUCAAGAUUGACGCUCAUGCACGAAAGCGUGGGGAGCAAACAGGAUUAGAUACCCUGGUAGUCCACGCCCUAAACGAUGUCUACUAGUUGUCGGGUUUUAAUUAACUUGGUAACGCAGCUAACGCGUGAAGUAGACCGCCUGGGGAGUACGGUCGCAAGAUUAAAACUCAAAGGAAUUGACGGA